rnacentral:rRNA from 1 species
AGAGUUUGAUCCUGGCUCAGAUUGAACGCUGGCGGCAGGCCUAACACAUGCAAGUCGAACGGUAACAGGCGAGUGCUUGCACUUGCGCUGACGAGUGGCGGACGGGUGAGUAACGCGUAGGAAUCUACCUGGUAGUGGGGGAUAGCCCGGGGAAACUCGGAUUAAUACCGCAUACGCCCUACGGGGGAAAGCAGGGGCUCUUCGGACCUUGCGCUAUUGGAUGAGCCUGCGUUAGAUUAGCUAGUUGGUGGGGUAAAGGCCUACCAAGGCGACGAUCUAUAGCUGGUCUGAGAGGAUGAUCAGCCACACUGGGACUGAGACACGGCCCAGACUCCUACGGGAGGCAGCAGUGGGGAAUAUUGCGCAAUGGGCGAAAGCCUGACGCAGCCAUGCCGCGUGUGUGAAGAAGGCUCUAGGGUCGUAAAGCACUUUAAGUGGGGAGGAAGGCUACUUAGUUAAUACCUGAGUAGAUUGACGUUACCCACAGAAUAAGCACCGGCUAACUCCGUGCCAGCAGCCGCGGUAAUACGGAGGGUGCGAGCGUUAAUCGGAAUUACUGGGCGUAAAGCGCGCGUAGGCGGUUUUGUAAGCUGGGUGUGAAAGCCCCGGGCUCAACCUGGGGACUGCAUUCAGAACUGCAAGGCUAGAGUACAGUAGAGGGUGGUAGAAUUUCCUGUGUAGCGGUGAAAUGCGUAGAUAUAGGAAGGAAUACCAGUGGCGAAGGCGGCCACCUGGACUGAUACUGACGCUGAGGUGCGAAAGCGUGGGUAGCGAACAGGAUUAGAUACCCUGGUAGUCCACGCUGUAAACGAUGUCAACUAGCCGUAGGGAUCCUUGAGAUUUUUGUGGCGCAGCUAACGCACUAAGUUGACCGCCUGGGGAGUACGGCCGCAAGGUUAAAACUCAAAUGAAUUGACGGGGGCCCGCACAAGCGGUGGGGCAUGUGGUUUAAUUCGGUGCAACGCGAAGAACCUUACCUGGUCUUGACAUCCUCGGAAGC